AGAAGAUUGGACAAGUGUCGUCUGCAGUCAACUUUAAUUUAGUUUUGAGAGUGAGGCCACGAAGCAUACGCCAACAAAGUUUGAGAAUAUAAAGAAAACUGUACGAUAACUCUUUUGAAAACGUGCGUGGCUGCAUCACGAAAUUAUAAUCUAAAAAAAUAAGAACAAAUCAAAUUACGAAAACGUGAUCGUCUCGUGUGAUGUGUUUGGUCUCUGCGGUGUCGUAGCUCUCGACAUGCUCUCCACUCGGUGCUUUUUUGGCGGAUUAGAGGUCAUCGUAACAACCUGAUACACAAGUUCUGCUUGUGCUGAGUCCGUCAUCAGUCUUCCUGUCUCACCUGUCAUCACCAAAUAUCUCAGCAUCACCACGUUAGACAAAAAGCCUCCCAUCUCAUUGGAAAAACUACUGAUGUCAAUCGAGUUAUACGGAUCUCUCUUUUUCCCCUUUCUUUCAAUGUCCUCGUGUACGCCCAUGUGAAUGUGGGUGUAUUCACGAGGACACCCUUUUUUUACCCUAUCCCGUCUGGUGUCCUUUAAUUAACUCUUCAUCGGAUGGAUGGAGCAACUGUAGAUGCCUGGCUGCAUUUCCCAGACAUAAAGUUUCAUCCGUUGGAUCGAUUGCCGGAGUACACCAACAAUUCCAUCCGGAUGAAAACUUCCAUUCAUGCAUCGCUAGCGCUCGACGAGACGUUCUUUUCUUUUUGAGGAUUCGUCGGUGGUAAGACCUUGCUGAUUGGGAAGGAGAAAAUGUCUGACCAGGUACGCUGUGCAGCAGCUUCCUGGAUUGGAUUGACGGAGUAAAUCAACAAUUCCAUACGGAUGAAAACUGCCAUUCAUGCAUCGCGAUGAACCAUGACCACCCCCAGCGCUCGAUGAGACGUGGGGACCUUCUUUUCAUUUUGAGAGUUCAACCUGCCAACGGGCCGGCCAGUUUGCAUGUCCUUCACGCUUGAAGGUCGCGGGGAAAAUUACGUAAAACUGUCAAUGCGGUGGUGUAGAGGUUGGGUGAGAACUGGACGUGUUGCAUCAUUAUUAAGCAGACCCAUCCCCAGCAACGUAAACCAAAAGAAGGAAAGGCCAUUUUCUUCACGCUCGAAGGUCGAAACAAAAACGUAAAACGUGUCAUGCGACGGGGAAGAGGUUGGGUGAGGACGACACGUGCUACCUCAUUAUCAAGCAGGUACAAUAGCCGCAAGGCUUAAGAGGUGGGUCAGGGUGAGAAAAAGAAAAAGUCGUAUAAAAGGCGAGAGAAAAGGCUACGGAACUCAGUUGAGUGAGCUUCUCCGACACGGCAACAACUGCUGUGCACUUAUGGUCACCAACUGCAUUUUCCGUCGCAAAUACAGUUAACUAUGGCGUCAUACUGCUGUUUGGUGUUGUGUCUAGCUGAUGGGCCAGGAAUCAGUCGAUGUCCGGCUGACGACGGCGUCUUUGAGCGGAGUCACUGCCAGCCACUGCAAGCCCACCGGUGAAUAUUUCGAUGUCGUUGACGCUGUAGACGCUGGCCAGGAGGACGAUUUGGUGGAUGAGACGCGUUGCAACGAUUCCUAAUUCCCCGAAGUCAACCUGCAGAUGGUUUGGUUAGUUUGCUUUUCCUUCACGCUAGAUAGUCAGGCGGAACAUUACGUAAAACUGUCAUGCGGUGGUGUAGAGGUUGGUUGAGAAUCGUGUAAUAGUGCAGAGGUUGGGUGAGAAUGACACGUGUUGCAUCAUUUUGGAGUGAGUACAGUAAUGCAAGGCUUAAGAGGUGAAUCAGGGCAGGGUGAGGAAAAUUCGUAUAAAAGGAGAGAGAACAGGCGAUAGAAUUUAGUCGAGUGAGCACCUUUGACACGUCAACAACUGCAGUGCACUUAUUGUCACCAACUGCCUUCUCCGUCGCAAUGAUGGUUAAUUAUGGCGUCGUGCUGCGUUCGGAUGGUUGAUGGAAUGAUGGCUGGGUCGACCACUGGUGUACCGAUGUCUCCUGGGUAUGGCGGAUGUCAAACCGCAAUGCCACCACCUUACUACACAACAUAAAAACACGGAACAGCCGUAUACUACUCCGAGGAUCCCGAGUACCCUAAGUUCCACUCAGUUCCUAGCUACAUUGAGGGUCCAAUUAUUUCACCACCGAAGCGUCUAAGUACUACACCACCAAGGCACCGGUACACGAUUCUGGAUGCUUCCGCAGCUUACUACACCGAGGCUCCACAGUACUACACCACUAAAGGACCGGAGUAGCCAACAUACGCUGCCCCAGCUUAUUACACCGAGGCCUUCAAGUACUUCACUACCAAGGCACCGGAGUACUACACUACUACCUACGCUGCUCCAGCUUUCUACACCACUACCCACGCUGCUCCAGCUUACUACACCGAAGCAUCCAAGUACUACUCUGCCCCGAACUACACAACUACAACUGAGGCGACCAAGUGCUACGUAGCCCAGACUUACAACACAGCAGCUGCUCCUUCGUACUACGUUGAACUGUAAUACUACACCGAGGCUCCAGUUAACUAAACCACAACCUACGCUACACCUAGAUAUUACGACGAAGCCCCCAACUACUACUAUACCGAAAAGGCCACGCAUUACACAAUCACGUACACUACCCCAGUUUACUUCACUAAGUAUAACUCUGCUCCAAGCUACUACCAAACUGAGGCUCCUGUUUACUACACCAAGGCCACCGGGUAUUACACUACAACCAAAUGUUAACUAUGGCGUCGUGCUACUGUUGGAUGUUGUAUCCUUGUUGGUUUAGUCAACCGAUGUCUCGGUGGAAUAUGGAUACAACCGCAACGCCGCCUUCUUAUAACACAACAACAUACGCAACAACCGGUUACUUCACCACCAAUUCUCCGGAGUAUAAUCCACAACUGAUGUCCCGAAUUACUACACCCGAGGCCCCAAAGUAUAACACCACCAAGUCACCCGAGUACUUCACCGCCGUUACCAUUUCCCGAACUACACCACCAAGGCAGCGGAGUACUACACCACCAAGGCAGCGGAGUACUACACCACCAAGGCAGCGGAGUACUA